rnacentral:rRNA from 1 species
AGAGUUUGAUCCUGGCUCAGAAUUAACGCUGGCAGAGUGCAUAACACAUGCAAGUCGAGCGGAACUGUUUGAGAUUACAUCAAGAGCAGUUUAGCGGCAGACGAGUGAGUAACACGUAAGCAAUCUACCCUCGAAUGGCGAAUAACCUGUCGAAAGGCAGGCUAAUACGCCGUAUUCUUCCCGAAAGGCAUCUUUUGGGACGGAGAGACCCGCAAGGGUCGUUCAAGGAGGAGCUUGCGGCCCAUCAGCUAGUUGGCGGUGUAACGGACCACCAAGGCUACGACGGGUACCCGGGCUGAAAGGCCGGACGGGCACGAUGGCACUGAGACACGGGCCAUACUCCUACGGGAGGCAGCAGUGGGGAAUUUUGGACAAUGGGGGAAACCCUGAUCCAGCAACUCUGCGUGAGGGACGAAGGUCUUCGGAUUGUAAACCUCUUUUACAUGGAACGAAAACCCGCAAGGGUCUGACGGUACCAUGCGAAUAAGCCACGGCUAACUAUGUGCCAGCAGCCGCGGUAAGACAUAGGUGGCAAGCGUUAUUCGGAAUUACUAGGCGUAAAGCGAGUGUAGGCGGACGCUUAAGUCUGACGUUAAAUCUCCCGGCUUAACUGGGAGCUGUCGUCGGAUACUGAGCGCCUCGAAUGGGGUAGGGGGCAGCGGAAUUCCCGGUGUAGCGGUGAAAUGCGUAGAUAUCGGGAGGAACACCUAUGGCGAAAGCAGCUGCCUGGGCCUCUAUUGACGCUAAGACUCGAAAGCUGGGGGAGCAAACAGGAUUAGAUACCCUGGUAGUCCCAGCUGUAAACGAUGGUAACUAGAUGUGGGAGGUAUCGACCCCUUCCGUGUCGUCGCUAACGCUUUAAGUUACCCGCCUGGGGAGUACGGCCGCAAGGUUUAAACUCAAAGGAAUUGACGG